UACGUAGGGGGCAAGCGUUGUCCGGAAUCACUGGGCGUAAAGGGCGCGUAGGCGGCCUGAUAAGUAGGGGGUGAAAUCCUGCGGCUUAACCGCAGGGCUGCCUUCUAAACUGUCGGGCUAGAGCACGGUAGAGGCAGAUGGAAUUCCCGGUGUAGCGGUGGAAUGCGUAGAGAUUUGGAGGAACACCAGUGGCGAAGGCGGCUCACUGGACUGGUACUGACGCUGAUGCGCGAAAGCGUGGGGAGCAAACAGG
rnacentral:rRNA from 1 species